rnacentral:tRNA from 1 species
UCCCUGAUAGCUCAGUUGGUAAAGAAUCUGCCUGCAAUGCAGGAGACCCUGGUCCGACUCCUGGGUCGGGAA